AAUGGUGGGUAAUACUGUAUAAUCCCUGCGGGGGAAAGAUUUAUCGCUAUUAGAUGAGCCUAUGUCAGAUUAGCUAGUUGGUGGGGUAAUGGCCCACCAAGGCUGUGAUCUGUAGCUGGUCUGAGAGGAUGAUCAGCCACACUGGAACUGAGACACGGUCCAGACUCCUACGGGAGGCAGCAGUGGGGAAUAUUGGACAAUGGGCGCAAGCCUGAUCCAGCUAUGCCGCGUGAGUGAGGAAGGCCUUAGGGUUGUAAAACUCUUUCAGUAGGGAAGAUAAUGACGGUACCUACAGAAGAAGUCCCGGCAAACUCCGUGCCAGCAGCCGCGGUAAUACGGAGGGGGCAAGCGUUGUUCGGAAUUAUUGGGCGUAAAGGGCAUGUAGGCGGUUUGGUAAGUUAAAGGUGAAAUACCAGGGCUUAACCCUGGGGCUGCUUUUAAUACUGCAGGACUAGAGUCCGGAAGAGGAUAGCGGAAUUCCUAG
rnacentral:rRNA from 1 species